UAUUCCUAUGAAAUGUGCGCUUUAGUU
rnacentral:piRNA from 1 species